AGGAUUUUUCUUGCUCGUGCUAGUGCACGAUGUGUGCACGACAUAGCGCGUAAUAAAGGAGGAAAGCCGAAGCAUGGGAAGAACCAUCAAGAGACCCUCCAUCUCUCCAUAAGAGAGUGAGUGUCUGCUCGAAUUGAGCUGCCGAUGUUUACUUCGUAGACAACAACAUGCGCCGAAGCAUUUUCCGAGCGAUCUGUCUUGAGCCGUGUGCUUCAGAUAGUCCCGAGACGUGGAUCGAUGCGGACGGUUGGCUUUCCGGGAAGGGAGUUUCUUUUGUAUCUUGGUUCCAGAAUACGCGUUCUAUUCAUACGGCGACGAUGCUGUGAGUUAUGCUGUUUGUUUUGUGGUAUGCAAUAUGUGUUUAUCGAAAGCCUCAUCUCUAUAGGGUGUUUUGUAUGGGAAAAUGUUGUUUUACGUACGUGAAAUAAUUAAGCAAAGAUAUGAAGAUUUGUGAAGUAAAAAUGUGAAAUGUGUACAGAAGCGAAGCAAAGAAUUGAUGCGUGAGCGAAGGUGAGAAAAAUGAAUCAAACAAAACAAGUGUAUCAAAAGGAAAUAAAAGUGCUUAAAUAAAAAAAAAGUUUCCAAAAUGAUAAAAGGCAAUGUAAUAAGAAGAAUUUAAAUCAAAUCGUUGGAGCAGUGGCGGGAAGACCGAGUGCAUCGUUUUUUCUCACCAUUCGCCUGGGCACGAUCAAUUGCAACUGCGUGAGAGGUCACGCCGUGAGUGAGUUGGAUGGAUGUUGGCAGCGUGAACCACUACUGCUGUGGUAUAUAUUUACGUGGUUAUCAGUCUUGCAGUUGGAAUUGCAUCAAAUUGGAUAAUAGCAGAUUGGCGGCAUAAAAUUGAAAGGAGGAAUACUGAUGCUGAUUUGUUGUAUGAAGCAAACGAAAGGAAAUGUUUACGUUUAAAAUGUGUAGUUCUGUAAUCAGUUUAGCUUUAUCAAUGGUUUAAAUUAAAACAAAUGUUUACGCAAUUUUUUUGCACAAAAUUGUUGGAGGUUAACUCCAUCGCACGACUUGCUGAACGUAUCCGUUGGUGGUACAUGAGUACCCAAUUACACACCCGCGCAUCGAUUGCCAGCGUCCGUUGAUGCGAUGCGUGGGGAUCAGAAGUGGAGGAAACGUGGCUGCUCUUAAGCCGAUUUAGUUAAAAGGAUUUGCAACGUUUAUUUGUGGUUAGAGUGCGGUGAAAAAGUGCUUAUUAAAAAAGAAGAGAAACCAAUAGCAGUAAGAAGACGUCGCCGAAUGGAAUUGUGUCUUACCAAAUGCGUAGUCGGUAAAGAAUGAUGAAUGGUGUGAAAGGUUCUAAGGAAUUGGCAGAAAUGUGGAUUGAAUCUACGUUUCCACAAAGCGCAGCAAUUCAGUUUAAUCGAGUGAUGCGUUAGCGUGAAGAGAUAAUUGCGUGCGAUAGUUUAAAUCGUUCAACGUUGAUAGACCAGGAAUAAACAAAUCAACAAGCAUUGCAAUUUGGAUUAAGACAGUGUCACUCUUGGAAUUGUGCAGAUGCUAAUGCAGAUGCCGAAAGGAUGAUCACCGGCUCGUAAAUCAGCGACGAAAUCACACAGGUAACCGUUGAACGAUACGACAGAUGACGCUAUUAAAAGACUGUAAAUCUAGUUUUACGUGGUGCUUCAAUCGUAAAUGGAAGCUAAAGUUUUUUUUUCUUGAAUUUCUAAUCCUCAUCUUCGCUGGUGGCAUCAUCUGUAGAGAUGGAAAAGGAAAAGUUGAAAGUGUUGAUAUGCAGAGAUGCAAAUUAUUUUGAAUAAUAUUCGUUAAAUAGAAUCGUGAUGGUGAACGUUCAUGACAAAGAUGCAUUUGUCAGUUCAACUGAAUGGUCUUACUAAAUACUUGCUGAUAGUCUACCGUUACUUGGUGGUAAAAAUACCUACCACGGAAACAGUCUGACCACAUCUAGUCGAUGUCAAAUACGUCGAAUACAAACCCUGAAGACAGCUAUCAGAUACAAAGUAUCAAUUCUGCACACAUAACCUGUUCUCAGGUCGUCAUUCUGAUGUGAGUUCAACCGGCAUCCAGCCUCUCACCAGGAAUCUUGAUUUCAUCGGCACGGCACUGAAUCGGAUGAUGACCACCGCGUGCGAUUGAACUCGGCAAUCAUCAUUUAAUUUCCAUGAAAUUUCGAUUCUGGUGAUAAUUUAUAGCGAUUAACGUUUUGGAAGUAAUUUGUGAGUCCCAACCCAAAA